rnacentral:lncRNA from 1 species
GUGUGUGUGUGUGUGUGUGUGUGUGUGUGUGUAUGAUAUAUUAGAUAGCAUAUUAUUACAUAUUAUACGAAAAUACGAAUAGGUAUAAAUAUUACAUACAUACAUACAUAUAACAUACUUAUGAAUCACCUGCAAACAAUAAAGGAAAUGUUUUUACAUGUAAUAAUUACUAUGAAAAGAUCCAUUAUGCACACACACUCCCACAUAUAUUUUGUGCAUGUGUGCGCGCGCGAACAGGCAAUCGAGGUGAUUGAUUUGUUCAAUGUUAUAAACAAAUUCUUCAACGCGAAGUAGAACGAAAGAAACGUCGAAUAGUCCUCAUGUCUCCAUGUCAUCAAUAGCCGUAUUGUUUGCGUAUUGUACUAAUGGAAUGAAUCGCCCCUAUUAUGUUAAACCUUAUAUACUUAUGUACGUACAUACAUACACUCAUACAUACAUACAUUUACUUACCUAAAAGUAAAUAUUAGUUGGAAUACCACAGUGUCGUGUAGUAUCUAAUAAAUCGAAGCAUGCAUGAUAGGCUCGAAAAAAAGACGAAGAAGAAUGUAAAAAAACGAAAGACAUCUUUAAAAACAAAUCAGCAAUUCCGAAUCUCACGAGCAAGGCUAGACUAGUUGUAGCAGACAGAUAAAACGAAGAACGGUAGUAUGAACUAAGUAAGUAAUAUUUGUAAUCGUACAAAACGAGCGAUCGGUCAUGUGUUCAAAAAAAAAGAAGAAAAAAAAGAUUGUAACGAUAAUAAUAAGAAAAUUAAAUAGAGAUACCUUAGAAAGAAAGAAAAAAAAUAUAAAGAAGGAUACAGAAAAAGCAUUGAGAGGGGAAAAAAGCGAUAAUAAAUAAAAGUAUAAUAAGGAUAUUAAUUAAUGAAGUAACGAUAAUAAUAAUAAUGAUAAUAAUAAUAAUAAUAAUACAACUGUCAUUAUUACACGCAUACAUACAUUAUACACAAACAUGGACAGAUAAUUAACAACAGGACACACAUGAUGGAGUUAGUAUUCGUAUAACGGUUGCUCAAGGCACUGCCACAUAUUUUUCUUUUUCCAUCAUGAAGAGAAUUAAAGCUUUACUUGCGGUCUAGCUGGAAUUAUUAUUAUUAUUUUCAACCCUAUCCCAGGUCUUGUAGCACAUCUGUCGCCUCACAUCCAAGCAAACAUGACUCAUUAUCGUAUGAAUAUUAAUAAUAUUUUAAAACAAUUUUUGACGGUUACAGCGUUAAUGAUGAUAAUGAAGAUGAUGAUGAUAAAUAAGCCGCAAGGGAUGAUAGAAAAAAAAUAAUAAAUAAACGUACUACGCAUCAUCUCUUAAUUCCGAGUGACUAAAUUAUACAAUGAAAUAUAGAAAUGAAAGACAAGGGGAAAAAAGGAAUAAUAAUUUGAAAACAGAUAAACAAAAAUAUAUAAAUGAAUAAUAAAAUUACCUAAGGGGAAAAAAAACAUGAAAAAAAAACAAAAAAAAAACCAUAAAAAAAAUGUGUCGGCUGUGAGCUUCCAAGCAAAUAACAAUAAUUAAAUUAUUAUAAUGAUAUUAUAAAGAGAAGUUGAAUGAUAUUCUACUCCUAAUCUCUGACGGUUAUGAGAAUGAAUUUCUUCAAACUGUGUUGAGAAAUUUGUUAUUAUCUACUAUUGUCGCGUAUUAACUGUUACUCUCUGUUUAUGAAGAAGAUAUUGAGAAAAAUAACUAGUAACAUAAAAUAUUAUAUAGUAAGGUAACAAAUGAGUCGAUCGAUCGAUCUACUUGAUGUCUAGAUUCAAGCGUUUAUAAGAUAAGGAAAACCGGGCGGGGGGGAUGAAAACAAUGAAAAAAAUAGCACUGACAACGCGACAAACGAUCGAUCAUAAUGCAACGUGUCGAAGGCCUAAAAGUCGUUAGGUCGUUAUGAAGAAAUUAAUAAUUUGUUAAAAAUAAGAGUGCCUUCUAUUUGUUUUCGUGGUUGUAUUGUUAUACAUUUGUUGAGUUACGUUCCGAAGAGACUCUAAUAAUGUUGUUAUAGAUGAGAGAAGGAAAGAGAGAAAGAAAAAAGAGAAAAAAAUGUUUGAAUAUUGUUGUUCCUCUAUUUAUUUAUUAAUUUAUGGGCUGCUGUGACAGCCUGGUAAUAAAAGCCCAGCGAAUUUUUGGAUGUAUAAAUUUAAAAUGAGAAAACAAAAAAUAAGAAAAGGCAGGAAAUUUUUGCGUUGGCAAUUUGGCACCACACGAUACUAAGGUGACUAUGAUGGAAAUAUAAAGCAGAAUAGAAUAUGAGAAACAAAACGAAGAGAAAGAAGUAAAGAGGAAGAAUGAGUGAAAUGAGAAAACUAUGUAUACAUAUAUAUGCGUAUAAAGGUAUAAAAUAUUGUAAGUUUAACCCUAUAAAUUAUUAUUAUAUAUUAUACAUUUCUUCACCGAGUCAUGCUAGCAUGACGCUAAACAAACAGCAGCUCAUUUCGACACCUAUUUCUAUCUAUGAUACACACAAGAAACAAAACAUACCCAGCAAUAUUGAAAUACAUAUAUGUUAAGAUUUAUUAGUGAUAUUCAGAUAUACAGAUUUACAUAUGUGUAUUGGGCAUUCCGUAUCAAAUCAACAGCUCAUGUCCUUCAACCCCUUCGAUUUUAAUCGUUUUUUAGUAUGAUUUAGUUACUGAACCAAAAGGGUCUCGGCAUUUUUUCAUAUUCUUUUAAUCAACAGUCAAAUUUAAGAAAGACCGAAAAACCAAUUCCGAAAACGCCAUUUUUAAAAAUCUGAAAAAAUUUACAUUAAUUCUAUGAGUCAAAAUAUGAUUUUUAGGCCCUACUAGAUAAUGGGAUCGAAAUAUAUAUACUAUUUUCUUCGCAAGUGUUUAAUUUUUCCAUGUCGGAGUCGGAGUUUUUAUUUUGUUGAUCAGAUAACUUGCGAAAAAAAUUUAAAUACUUUAACUGUACUCAGACCUCCUGUUAGUUCUCUAAAUUUCACAUAAAUUCAAAUCCAUCAAUAUUUGAGAAAAUUAUGACCGAUCAAAAAAUAAAAACUACAAUUCCUGCAUUGACAAACUAAUAACUUCCGAAAAAAUAUUAAAUAUUGAGAUGAGAUUAUAUGUUUCAUUACCGUGUGCUGCUUCAAAAUCAGAUUUGAAAUCAUAGAAACAGUGUGAAGUUUUUGAGAUUUUUAAAAAUCACAUUUUCAGAAUUGGUUUUACUUUUUCAAAUUUCACUGGUAGUCGAAAAAAUCUGAAAAAAAAAUCGAAAACCCGUUUGGUUUGGUAACAACAUUAUACUAAGUAAUGAUCGAAAACGUAGGGGGUGAAGGAUGUAGUCUGCUGAUUUGACGUGGAAAACCACAUGUGCAUAUUGAUGAAUCGCUUGAUCGUGCAUUCAAUACUGUCUUUUUCAACAAUUUUAAUAAGUUGUUUAUUAUUUCCACCCUUUUUAAAAUCAUGCAGAAAGACUAAUUAGACAUGAAAGCAGCACAACGUGGUCCUAAAUAUGAUUUCAUAGAACGCAGAGGCCAUCUCAUUUAGAACUCAACCUUGCAAACAAAAUGUUCUGGCCCAACUACUAAAUGGCAUUUUUCGCUGUCAGGUUUGAAGUUGAAUUUUAAAUACCGGCCCAGUUGGGAGAAAAUAGAGUAUGUAUAUGUGUGUGUAUAUACAUAGAGAAAAUACACACAUAAAUAUACAUACAUAUAACACAAAUACACAAAUAUAAAUACGCGUCAUGGUAUACAUAUUAUAUAUAAGAUAAAAAUGUAGUACUACAUAUACAUUAUAUAUUGUAGCGUAGCGACGGUAAAACAAAAUAAUAUAAUAUACAAUAUAAUAAUGAAUAAAAAACGUAUAUAUACCAUAAGCUACACACGCAUGCGCGCGUCCACAUACAUAUUAAUGCAAGGCAUUUUGAAGACCAUCGUUGACUAUUUUGCGAAUACACUGUGAAUGGAUCACAAUGACAUUCAGGAAUACUAACAGAUAUCUGUUCUCUGCUUCUAUUCCUUGGCUAACAAAUCAUCAGUGAUUUUCUUUGACAUCUCGUGUGACGAAUUCGUAAAAUUACUGAGGUACAUCACCUUACUUUUCUAAAUACUGACGGCUUAAUAGGUUUCUUAGAUGACCGUAAUUGCGGAUUCUAGUUGAAAGAUUAUCUAUAAAAAAAAUGGCCUAAUUAACUAAGGUUGGAGAAAUUGUUGGAUUACAGUCCUCUUAUGAUAUGACGAGGAUUCUCUAUGAGAGUAGCUUCUUCUUAAAGCAGUCCUAUUUAUUGUUCGUCGUUAUUCCAUGGAUGAUAUUUUCUAGAAAUGAUAGUAGUAAUGCUAUAGAUAUCUCCUCUUUAAAAUGCCUUGUGUUUAUAAGAAGAAAUUAAUGUAAUGACAUAAAACAAAUUAAAUUAUAUACAAUGAUUCAUGAAAAGAGAAGAAAAUGACAUUUAGAAUGCAUCACUACGCAUGUAUAAUACACUUACAUAUAUUAUACACAUAUUCUAUUAGAUAACAGAAUGAGAAACCAACCAUUGUGAAGUGAUACACGAAUAAAAUAUAAAUUAUAUGCAUACAAUGCCUAAAAUAGACUUCGCGACUAUAUGCAUAUGCGUAUGUAUAUAUGUUACAAUACAUGAUCAUAUUUAUAUAUUAUGUAUGAAAAGAGAAGAACAUGAAAAUAAAAUGAACAGUCGAUACUAGAAUUAUAUGCAUGAAAUAGUGUGCACAAUACACAUAUCCAUACGCAUAAUGAACUGUAGCAGGCGAUAAAAACUCGGCGAACAACACACGUAAAAGACAUUGUAAAACUGCAUUGCGUAUGGUAAAAAUAAACAUGUAGAAAAGUAAUUUAUAUGUCUCUUAUCAACAUUAUCCCGUUUUGUGAAAAAGCUCCCCUAUCGCGUGCACUCGUUCAGGCGACAGUUUUAAGCGGGAAACGCACAUGAUUAUAGAGAUUCUUGUCCUCUUUGAUAUUAUAUUACUUUGCUAAAGUUAUGUUUCGGAUAUCAUGUAAUGAAAACAUUUCAUUGAGUCACGUAGGAUCGAAGUAAAUUGAUUUAGAGUUGUUGAAAAUCUCAAAAUUUCACGACGUAAAUUCAAGGGGGUCGUCAGCCCUCCUUUUUCAUGAUUUUUCGAGCGAAAAACUUUUUAUCUCAGAAUCUAUUCGUACCACCAUUUCUAGACUAGUUGCAAAGGACCAGCAACAAAAAAAUUACGAAAGGAAGUCUUUUGUUUUUUGGCUGUAACUCUUGAUCCGCUAUCCGUAGCAAAUUUGGACUGCACGCAAUCUGUUUCUCGCAAAAUUAUGUAGAUGUGCAUCAAAGAAUUGUUUCCAGCAAUUUUUAAAGUCGCACAAAUUUUCAACAAAAAUCCAAAGGGGUUAGCCUUACUCUAUUUUUAUGCAAAAAAUCCUUCGUCUCAGAAUCGAUUUGUUUGACCCUUUUCAGAGUAAUAAAAUCCCGAGAAACAUAUAUUGAAAACUUAUAAUCUUACGAUUAAUUUCAAAACUAGCCGAGCAUUAGAAAAAUGUAAGGGAGUACGCUCGGAGCGUCCCUAUUAUUCUGUCACCGCAGAUAGCAACAUUGUAUCGUUCUUCAUUGAGCCACAAAAAAAGCCAUUUGUGGACUUGGAUUGGCUGACUAACCAGUGAGUAUAAAUAAUUUCAUUCAAACCUUAUUGAAUGGUAUAAAAACUUAAACCGCAUUUUUCUCGAACCUAUGCUUUUCAGAUCAGCAGCCACGAUAUCUCGAUAACACAUUGGCCAAUUGAGCUUAGAUUUUUUUUGACUGUUUUCCACGUUGGUAGCAGAAAUGAUUCUAAAUAAUAUUUCUGUUUUUUAUACAACUCCUAGAAUGGUCAGAAAUGGGAAAAAUUGAUAAUCAAAGUUUAGCCCUGUUAUAAAAUUUUUAUUUUCGUUUGCUGAAUCUGGUACCAACCAUACACAGUCAUACAAAUUAAGAAUAUGUUUGGUUUUUACCAGAUUCAUACAACGUUCGUUUGUUUUAUUUCUAUAUAUUCUUGAAAGAUCGAUAAAUAGGUGUACAAAACUUCAGAAUGCAAACUCAAACAAUUUGAAAUCCAUUCCAUCCUAAAAAUCACCUCCAAAACAACUCUCCAGACAUCAAUAUCCCCUUAGGCGCCGCUGAACUGGCUUGCAUUUUUACAUUCCGGACGUCACGAGCACUUACAGCGCCCCUAGAUGGUCAACGUUGAUCUAAAUGACAUGAUUCGAUUGGUUGGAACCACGGUAUAAGAAUAAGUUCGAAACAAAUGAACCAUAUAAUAUCUAUAAAGUAUAAAAAGGAACAUUAUUUAAAUAUUGGCAGGAGUUGUUGUGUUUGUCAUCGAUGUGCACAAGACGAAUGUGGGGAAGAUAUAGCUUUUUCACUGUUCCCAAAGCAAUUGAUCUAUACAAUAAAUGGAGAGAUGCAAUUGCUCUUACUGGGAUAGUUUUAAAAAAGACUCAAUAUAUUUGUCAAAAACAUUUCAACCCUGAUCAAAUACAGGAUCAAGUCACUAUCCGCGAUCAAUCUGGGAAGGUGUUGUUCCAAAAGUUUGCACAUACUGUGAUGUCUGUUGUUGCAAUACCAUCCAACAAUGAGAAGAUAUUGCCCAAAUCAAUAAGUCAGCAGUGUGCAACGGAGGACCUUCUAGCCAUGCAGUACAGAAACGUAUAGCCAAGAUGUGCCUAUAAGGACAUGAGUAACAGAUGGCGACAGAACUCAUGUACAUUGACAAUUGGAACUGGUUCAACUUGUAAAUCGUGUGCAUCUCUUGAUAGUAUUUUGCGGAGGCAUUCGGCUAGCAAAGAAAGUUUUGAAAAGACAUGUUCAAGCUCAGGCUUUCAAAAAAAGUAGACGAAGGUUGUGUGGCAUAUCACAAGAAGUAAACAAAUUGCAUGACAAAUUAGCUCAUGUUGAGAAGAGUACAUUUGAAGAAAACUUGGGAAAAGUUGCAUCUUCCUGACGCUCAGAGCAACAACAUAUUACCCUUAUCAUCUCGAACGACUAUUCAUAAGCACCUCGGUUCCAUCUACCAGCAAUAGCUCAGCAUGAAAUUCUUCUGAUUGAUGAAAUGAAAGUACAGGAAAGCAUUUCAAUCAACGUAAAAUCUAUGACAUUUGAUGGACUCGGAAAUGGACAAAAAGAAGGUCAAGAAAGCGGCAUUUCAAAUGACUUGACAGAUUAUACCUUAGUUUUUAUCCUUGGGGGGGGGGGCGAGUUUCACCAUUCAAUAGCCACAUUCCCUUGUAAAGGUUCUACAUCUCGGAGAAUACUUGCAUAGUUUGCCUUGAAAGCAAUUACAGAACUAGAAAAAGCAGGAGAAUAUGCAGAUAGUAUCAUUUGCGACGGUGCGACAACUAAUCGGAAGAUGUGGACAGAGUUUGGUGUUCAAGGAAACAUAGAUAAUGCCUGCCAUUUCUUUGAAAAUCCAAUGGAUGAACCUAGAAAAAUCUACAUAUUCUCGAAUACACCACAUUUGAUAAAAUGUGUGCGAAAUAGAUUACAGAUUAAUAGGAUUUUGAAGAUGGAUGGUAAUUUCAUUGAAUGGCUGUAUAAAAACUUAUAUUACGAAAAUUGUAAGAACCGAGCCAAUCUCGGAGUGUGCCGAAAAGUAACUCGG